AGCCCAUUCACUACAAUCAGAUGAAACAGGCCUUCCUGCUAAGCCUGUCUAGUGUGCAUCCGGAUACAGACAAAAUAAUUCCAGUUUUGUUUAGACCUCCAGCCUUCCUGCCUGUGUCUCUUCCAUUGGUUAUUGCUUCAUCGCUUCCGCUGCAAGCAAAGAAUGCAUUUCUUUGUCAG